rnacentral:rRNA from 1 species
UACAUGUGGGGCAAGCGUUGUUCGGAAUUACUGGGCAUAAAGGGUGCGUAGGCGGCUUGUUAGGUCACUGGUGAAAGUUUUCGGCCCAACCGGAAAAUUGCCUGUGAUACCGGCGAGCUUGAGUGCGUGAGGGGUGGGGGGAACGAGCAGUGUAGGCGGUGAAAUGCGUAGAUAUUGCUCGGAAGGCCGGAGCCGAAGGGGCCCCACUGGUAC